CAGACACUCACCGUUCCCAAUUCAUUUCUCACACUCUCUACUCUUCCUCCAUCAAUGGCGUCCUCAAUUUUACUAUCACUUCCAUUUCUCCCUCCUCCUUCAACAUCAAACCCUAAACCCCCAAUUUCCAAACUCUCAUUUUCUCUCUCCUCCCACUCGAUUCACCGCAAAACACUCAGCAUUCCAAUUCACUUCGCCCAAAAACCUCCGCAAAUCCUACGUCGCAGAUUAAUAGCCGGAGCUUCCGUCGGAGAAUCCGACGAUAAUUCCGAUGAAAUUCUCGUCGGAGAAGAUGCGGCAGCUUUCGAGCUUAGCAGCCAGAAGCUAACUUCCUGGGUUUACUUUACCGUAAUUUUGGGGGUUGUGUUGUUCGCGCUCAAUUUUCUCUGGAUUGAUAAUUCUACCGGAUUUGGAAAGAAUUUUAUCACUGGUAUUGAGAGUGUUUUCCAAAGUCCUGAGGUUGUGAUGCUGAGCCUUACAGUCAUAUUUGCUGCUGUUCAUAGUGGAUUGGCUAGUUUUAGGAAUGUGGGUGAGAAAAUUAUAGGAGAACGUGCUUUCCGUGUCUUAUUUGCAGGAACAUCUCUUCCGCUAGCUGUUAGCACAGUGGUCUAUUUCAUUAACCACAGAUAUGAUGGGAUACAAUUGUGGCAGCUUCAAAGUGUUCCUGGAGUACAUCAGCUUGUGUGGUUAUCUUCUUUCAUUUCCUUCCUAUUCCUUUAUCCUUCAACCUUUAAUUUGUUAGAAGUGGCAGCAGUUGAUAAGCCCAAAUUGCAUCUUUGGGAAACAGGAAUCAUGAGAAUUACCCGCCAUCCACAGAUGGUUGGACAGGCAGUCUGGUGUCUGGCUCACACAGUCUGGAUUGGGAACUCAGUGGCAGUUGCUGCGUCUAUUGGCUUGAUUGGACAUCAUUUAUUUGGCGUUUGGAAUGGGGAUAGAAGGUUAGCUUUAAGAUAUGGGGAUGCUUUUGAGAUUGUGAAGAAAAGGACUAGUGUAAUUCCAUUCGCUGCUAUAAUUGAUGGGCGGCAAAGGCUACCAAAAGAUUAUUACAAAGAAUUUAUUCGGGUGCCAUAUAUAGCAGUGACUGCAGUCACCCUGGGUGCUUAUUUUGCUCACCCACUUAUGCAGUCAGCCAGUUUCCGGCUUCACUGGUAGUAGAGGCCAGGGUUAUUUUAAUGAUCAGGUGACAAAAUUCACGGUGUAACCACCAAUUCGUCUCUGGAGAAGACUUUUAAAGAGAGAAAGGGAAAGAUUUAAGCUGGGUAUAUAGCUGCAGACACUUCCGUCAUGUUUUCAAACAGAAUUGUACGAUGUUCCUUUGUGUGAAAGACUAUCUUGCACAACGUUGAAAUGUCAGAAAAUUGGAUACGACAAUGUACAACGAGUGAAGAGAUAAUGCAGCAACCGGUUGCCUUCCAUUGCAGCUUGGGGUGAGUUAAUAUAUACGUGCCUCGGGGGCAUAAACCAAGCGCGCUACCUGAUCUCACUUUCAAAUCCGGAGAAGUCACAACUCACAAGGGUCAUUUAACGGUCAAUGUAUCAUGUAGAAUCCACCAAUAUUUGUUGUUAUAGCAAGACCGUAAGUGGGCAAAACCAUGAGCAUGAUACUCCACAGCAAACUUGGCUCGUUCGUUCACCACCUUAUCGGUUGUACGCAAGUUUUCCGUCAUCUUCAACGCCCAGAUACUUGAACGGGGCGCCGCCGUAUGUUGCUUUCAGUGCAACAAAUGUUGGCAAAUGAACCUCACCUUCCAAGUUUGCCAUCACGUAAGUAACACACCUUUGGUUUUAGGAUCUUGAUUACACUUUUUUUUUUUUCUUUUUCUUUUACUGUGUCAAUAGAUCCAAGUCUAUUUAUUUGUUUAUUUUUAUGGGAAUAUUCUUUUAUAUUUUGGUCAAAUUUAAGCCAGAUCAUUAUAUGAUUUUAAAUGCUACCAAAGUCA